rnacentral:rRNA from 1 species
UACGUAGGGGGCAAGCGUUGUCCGGAUUUACUGGGUGUAAAGGGAGCGUAGGCGGCUGUGUAAGCCAGAAGUGAAAGCCCGGGGCUCAACUCCGGGACUGCUUUUGGAACUACAUGGCUUGAUUGCAGGAGAGGCAAGUGGAAUUCCUAGUGUAGCGGUGAAAUGCGUAGAUAUUAGGAGGAACACCAGUGGCAAAGGCGGCUUGCUGGACUGUAAAUGACGCUGAGGCUCGAAAGCGUGGGGAGCAAACAGG